AAUAAAAUCUCCUGAACAGGAGAGGGCCGACUGUUGCCUGAAAAAGGGAUCA
rfam:Enterobacter sp. 638, complete genome.